rnacentral:rRNA from 1 species
GACGAACGCUGGCGGCGUGCCUAACACAUGCAAGUCGAGCGAGGGGAGUUUCUUCGGAAACAAACCUAGCGGCGGACGGGUGAGUAACACGUGGGCAACCUGCCUUAUAGUGGGGAAUAGCCUCUCGAAAGGGAGAUUAAUACCGCAUAAUAUUACACUUUCGCAUGAGAGAGUAAUUAAAGGAGCAAUCCGCUAUAAGAUGGGCCCGCGGCGCAUUAGCUAGUUGGUGAGGUAACGGCUCACCAAGGCGACGAUGCGUAGCCGACCUGAGAGGGUGAUCGGCCACAUUGGGACUGAGACACGGCCCAGACUCCUACGGGAGGCAGCAGUGGGGAAUAUUGCACAAUGGGGGAAACCCUGAUGCAGCAACGCCGCGUGAGUGAUGAAGGUCUUCGGAUCGUAAAGCUCUGUCUUCAGGGACGAUAAUGACGGUACCUGAGGAGGAAGCCACGGCUAACUACGUGCCAGCAGCCGCGGUAAUACGUAGGUGGCAAGCGUUGUCCGGAUUUACUGGGCGUAAAGGGAGCGUAGGCGGACUUUUAAGUGAGAUGUGAAAUACCCGAGCUCAACUUGGGGGCUGCAUUUCAAACUGAAAGUCUAGAGUGCAGGAGAGGAGAGUGGAAUUCCUAGUGUAGCGGUGAAAUGCGUAGAGAUUAGGAAGAACACCAGUGGCGAAGGCGACUCUCUGGACUGUAACUGACGCUGAGGCUCGAAAGCGUGGGGAGCAAACAGAAUUAGAUACCCUGGUAGUCC